GACUUCAUUUCCCAGCCUCUUGCUAUAGUCUCUCACCUAAACUCUAAGAUAUGGAAAGAUAUUGGGAUCAGCAGGUUUGCCUAAAGGACCCACUGCAUUUAUGGAGAAACUGAAAAAUGAAAAAGUAGCUCCUAGAACUCGUGCCAGCGAGAACUUGCACAGACCGCUUACUUCCUUCUCUCCGCUCCCAUCAGCAUGAAUUUCAUGUGUACUCCAGUUAGCGGCACGUAACUCUACCUUGAUUCACAUAUUUUAGUAACUUCACUCCAGUAAACUGUUUGAG